rnacentral:rRNA from 1 species
AAUGAACGCUGGCGGCGCGCCUAAUACAUGCAAGUCGAGCGAGAAGACGUAGCAAUACGUUUGUAAAGCGGCGAACGGGUGAGGAAUACAUGGGUAACCUACCCUCGAGUGGGGAAUAACUAGCCGAAAGGUUAGCUAAUACCGCGUACGCUCCUUGGACUUCGGUUCAGGGAGGAAAGCGAUACCGUGGGUAUCGCGCUCUUGGUUGGGCUCAUGUCCUAUCAGCUUGUUGGUGAGGAACGGCUCACCAGGGCUUCGACGGGUAGCUGGUCUGAGAGGACGAUCAGCCAUACUGGCACUGCGACACGGGCCAGACUCCUACGGGAGGCAGCAGUAAGGAAUAUUGCGCAAUGGGGCGAAAGCCUGACGCAGCGACGCCGCGUGGGGGA